GACGAACGCUGGCGGCGUGCUUAACACAUGCAAGUCGAACGGUAAGGCCCUUCGGGUACGACGAGUGGCGGAACGGGUGGAGUAACACGUGGGUGAUCUGCCCUGCACUUCGGGAUAAGCCUGGGAAACUGGGUCUAAUACCGGAUAGGACCAUGGACUUCACGGUUUGUGGUGGAAAGCUUUUGCGGUGUGGGAUGGGCCCGCGGCCUAUCAGCUUGUUGGUGGGGUAAUGGCCUACCAAGGCGACGACGGGUAGCCGGCCUGAGAGGGUGUCCGGCCACACUGGGACUGAGACACGGCCCAGACUCCUACGGGAGGCAGCAGU
rnacentral:rRNA from 1 species